GCCUACCAUUGAUAAUGGGAGAAAGAUGUGAUGUAAUUUACUGGCACUCUUGUGCUCCGAGAGACGCCGAAGAGGAGCGAGCCUCCUUCCCCCGCGUGACGAUCCAGAGUGGCACCAUGUUGAGGAGGCUGGCAAUGGGAUAAGGCACGUCCGAACAUGCUGCUUCUUCUCCGGCUCCUUCCCAAAUGUGUCCCCCGACGGUGCGUUUGUGAGCCACUCGGAUGCGUGUCCUACAUUUAGAGCGCACUUGGUCAUGAACUGAGAACCAUCUCCAGAGCAAAUGUCGGACGCCACGUUGUAGAGAGGAUCGUCGGGACGCUCGUGGACGACAAACACAGGAACAAAAUGGUGGUCGUGCCUGGGGGCAUGGUAAUAGGUGUCCAAAAGCACCUGGAGGCGGCUGUGACCGGGUAACAGUCGCACCUCGAUGACAUCGGAGGACGCCUCUUUCAUGGCGACCGACGACAGCUUUGUCGCGUUGAUGGCCGUCCCUGUGAACGAGGGCGCAGAAUGGACGCCAGGCUCCUUGCGAGCAAAACGCUUUGUGGCGGCCUCUGCUCACCGUUGACCGGCUCCGUUCUGCCUUGGACUGCCAGUCCUUUCCCGGCCGACGUCAACAAUCUGUACUCGCCUUUGCCAUUGAAGGAGUAGCGCGCCCCGUCGAAAGUUAUAAAGUGUGGAUCUCCAAACACCACGGCUACGAGACGCAUCCCGUGGUUAGUGUUGAUCUGACACAGCUAGUGGAUGAUGGUGAAAUAAAUACCAGAGUUGGGAGGUUGAUAGCGCCGACAGUCGCUGGAGGGCCGGUGUUUGAAGUAAUAGUAGCAGUUGUCGGACCAGAGGCAGCAGUAGUAGAAGCUGAGGACGUCGUAGACCCAGUGGGACUGUCCGGGGACCCUUGGGGGCUUCCUGUAAGGAGGCGAACCCCAAUCGUGGGCUCGGUCUGGCGUGCUGCCGCCUAUGGAGUCUGCGGUCAGCACCUGAGCGCCACUGCUGUCGUAGCAACACUGCUGCCCGGCUGCAUACUUGGGACUGCAGCAAGGAAACAUGAGGAGGACAUUCUGAAUGUAGACUUCCACCAAGGCGGGGCAAUCCAAAUAUGGAUGAACAGCAAAGCGUUCACUCAAUCCUGCCUGAAUGUUCUUCAUAU